rnacentral:lncRNA from 1 species
UGUUGGCCAUUGUUAGAAGUUACAUAUUGCAGAUCAAGGAAUUGUAAUACACUAUAAUUAUAUAAUCUUAUUUUCAUAAGAAAUCCCUUAAUACUAAAGCUUUAUCAAUAUGAACAAGGUCUAGAGGCCACUAAUAGCAUGAAUAACUCACCUGGAUUUAUGGCCCAAAGAACAAUUCCAGAAUACUUUUCAGAAUCGAAGUAAUAACAUAUAAACACUUUUGUCAACUUUGGUUUGAAAUGGUUCAAUAGCUCUUGAGAUCAGUGAUAAUCGUACCAAUAGUCUGUUUGUCAAUUCCCGUAAUUGACCCGGUCUAAUAUUAGAGAUUCCUUUCUUAGUUGUCUCUCUUUUAAUGCAUUGAUGCCCUACUGGACUUUACUAAGAACCAUACAUGUACUUAAACUUAUAUAACCCCGAGCUUAUAUAAGGAAAAUUUCUGAAAUUUUUGUUAUCAUUUCAAGCCACUUGUUUCUAAAAAGAAAAGCUAACUGAAAUUUUCAAUAAAUUUUAAAUUAAUCCUCUCAGACUGGCAAUCAUGUUUUUUUUAUCAGUAACAAAGUACAAUCUCUUUAUAAAUAAGGACCUUUCACAGAACAUGUGUCACAUUUUAUUUUCAUUUGAUUCUGCCUUAAUAUUGAGCUUUUGAGCAAUAAAGAUUGUACAAGAUAAUUAUGAAGUAUCCUGGCACAUAAAUUUUCUUUUAUUCACCUCAAAUCAUUUUGUUUUUUAAUUUUACUUGCAUAAUUUCAACUUUUAUAUGAAGAUUCAUAAACAAUAUCUGUAAGAUAAGAAAUACAUGAGGCAAUGGUCUU